rnacentral:snoRNA from 1 species
AACCCAUGGUGAGGGCACCUUCUCAACAGAGCCUUGUGUCUCUCCCAUGCAUCGUAAAGUGUUUCUAAAUCCAUCUGCACAAAAGAGGAGAUAUCAUUAUGUAAUU